GUAUUGAAUGAUUAAAUGUUAAUAUUUUAUUUAAAAUUGUUAUGUUUCCUUAGUGGGACACAGCGUUUAGCCAAAUUUUCAUUAUAUAAAAAUAAAAGUUACAAUCGUUAACACGUUAAUAUUUUUUUAAAACGAUAUUAGAUGCCAGUGGCGGUGUCUACUUUUUUAUUUCAUGAGCAAGCAGGUUGACUGCCACUACCUAAGUGUUAUUAGACAAAGCCGUGGGAGCCCUGCUUCUUUCUUCACCAAUUUACCAUUCCACAAAUAUAUGCUUUAAGUCAUGAUAAUUUUAUAUUUUGAGUAUCGAAUAAAAUCAGACACUUAAUAUAUUUUAAUAAUACAUUAUAUAGAUUUUUUUAUUUUCCUAUACAUCAAUAAAAAUUACACAGAACUAAUAAACAAAAUACUGAGCCAUGUGAAACAUGACAUUUAAUCAACAGCAGAGUAAAGAAAUCUAUGGCACUUUUUUUUUCAAAAAUUAAAAAAUAAUCAAUAGUAUUUUAUCUCCU